rnacentral:rRNA from 1 species
AUUGAACGCUGGCGGCAUGCCUUACACAUGCAAGUCGAACGGUAACAGGUCUUCGGAUGCUGACGAGUGGCGAACGGGUGAGUAAUACAUCGGAACGUGCCUAGUAGUGGGGGAUAACUACUCGAAAGAGUGGCUAAUACCGCAUGAGAUCUACGGAUGAAAGCAGGGGAUCGCAAGACCUUGUGCUACUAGAGCGGCCGAUGGCAGAUUAGGUAGUUGGUGGGAUAAAAGCAUACCAAGCCGACGAUCUGUAGCUGGUCUGAGAGGACGAUCAGCCACACUGGGACUGAGACACGGACCAGACUCCUACGGGAGGCAGCAGUGGGGAAUUUUGGACAAUGGGCGCAAGCCUGAUCCAGCAAUGCCGCGUGCAGGAUGAAGGCCUUCGGGUUGUAAACUGCUUUUGUACGGAACGAAAAGCCCUGGGUUAAUACCCUGGGGUCAUGACGGUACCGUAAGAAUAAGCACCGGCUAACUACGUGCCAGCCGCCGCGGUAAAAC